UGUGCCCUUCAGCCGCACAGAGUUUGGCUGCCAAGGCUGUGGAUAGAGCACAGUGAACCUGCUUCUGUAUGGAGCCCUCAGUGUGCGAUGGCCCCUCUGCACAUGGGCCUCGAGUAUGGGAUUUCUGGGUUAAUGCUGAGCGCGUUUUACCCUCUGCACUUCCCGCUGCCUUCUGAAGCGGCUCUUUCCUAGCUCUGUAGGAAAGCACCUGCGUCUGCACCAGCGCCAGCGUCUGGUGGUGCCAUCUUUUCACUGUCUCAGAACUGAAAAGGGACUCUCCUUGCAUUUUGGCAAUGAUGGUAAAGUUGUGCUUCUUUUAUAAAUUUAUUUUCCACCUCAGAAAAGUUCCCAUAUAUGCUUUUUGGCCCCUGCCCCGCCCCCCUUUCUUUUUAAAUUGCACUACUGGCUGCCUUUCAGUGAUUUCCAGGAGUUGUGCACAUGCCACAGGUGUUAAUCCUUUGCUAUUUUUAUUUCAAAUUCUUGCCCCCCACUGACUAACUUUCAUCUUUAUGGUAAAACAGUUUUACCUUUUUAUUUUGUGAAUUAUUAUAUGCACCAUGGACUUUCGGCUUCUGAGUCUGUAGCUUCUGUAUUUAAUGUCUCAUUUGCAAAACUUUUUGCUCCAAGAUUAGGCUAAUAUUCAUCAGUGUUUUUAAAAGUUAUACCAGUUCAUGUUUUUGUUGGUUUUUUAACCCUCCAGAGUUUAUUAUUUUUAGGAAUAGAAUGAAAUAUUGAUGUAUAAAACUCCUAAAGUACAAAAACCCUAUUUUUGGAUUCCAUUCUGUUUUGCAACAUCCUACUGUCUUAUUAAUUGCAAUUUGUAGAGUGUUUUAAUUUCUGCUAGGGAGGAUCUUUGUGGUUUCUCUCUGUGAGCACCCUCUCCUGUGGUGUUCCAGACAGGUUACUUUUGACAAGCAGACUACUACGCCUUCCUUUCCAUCUUCCUGGAGAUGGGUAGCCUAUAGUAAAAACAACCUGCUUCACAAAGUUCUUCAUGUAGACACUUCCCCUGUGCAUGAGUAGGUUCAUAAAGGGGCGGGCCAUUGUUUUUCAUUUUUGGCAGAAAAAGCAAGAAAUUAAACCAUGGUUCAUGUUUCUCUGUGGUCAGCAACUUCAUUCUCCAGCCCUGGAUGUUCCAUUUCACCCAUGUCCAUCUGCAUUUCCACAGCAGGGCUGAUCCCUCUCCCUGCCACAUUCUGUCCUUAGAAGAUUAAAUGAGAGGAUUGAGAAAACUUCAUUUAGCUAGAGCAAGAGAUCAUGGUGGGGCUUAGCACAGUAAGAGGGAAUGUGUCCUCGGGCAGCGGCCACACUUGAGCAAACUGGGGGGGGUGACUUGAUCAUGCAUGCGUGCGCAUGCACACACACACCAUACCAUACACACACAACACUACACCACACACACACACACAUAUGCUACACUGUACACACACCAUACCACACCCCCCAUACACAACACACCACACACACCAUACCACACCCCCCAUACACAACACACCACACACACCACACCACACACACACAACACCAUACCACACCCCCCACACACCACACCACACACACACACAACACCAUACCACACAUAUACAUACACCACACCACAUACACAACACAAACACUAUACCACACAUAUAUACACCACACCAUACACGCAUCUAUACACUACACACACACUAUACUGCACGCAUACAUACUACACCAUACAUAUGCUGUACUACUCACAUACCAUACCACACAUAUAAACAUACACCAUACACAUACAUACACUAUACUAUACACACAAAAUGUACACCGCACCUCCCCACCACACACACCACACAUAUACAUACACUACACACAUACUACACACACAAACACACACACACUCUCUCUCUCUUUCUCUCUGUGUGUUCUAUUUUCACCUGAUCGAAUAUUCACCAAAUAUUAUCAUCUUAGUAUCUGUAAAAACUCCAGGGACUUAUAUAGGAAAUAAUUUCCUUUUCAAGAAUUGGCAUUAAUAUUUGGAAGGUCAGUGUUUUCAACAGGACAGAGAUUGCUUCGCUGCUGUUGGUGUGCUGGCUUUGGGAACCUAAACGUGAUUGUCCAUGGAUGGCACAUGAAUCUGAAUCUGAGGCGUGCUGCCUAGACAAACUGUCCAGUGGAAGGCUGGCGCCAUCACUGUGAGCCAUAACACAGAUGCCUGUGUCAUGCAGAAAGUUCUGCUCUUCAGCUGCUGCGAUGAGUUGAGCCCUGUUCCUUCAAGAGUGGAAGCCAGAGAUAUCUGUUACCUGCAUAGCUGUGUGACGUCCUCAGGUCCUGUGGGCAUCAAUUCAAAGAGCGUCUGUAUGGAUCUACAUUAGCUGUGAUUACCAUGGCUGUCACAAAGAGGCAGUACUUGGAAGCCAUGGUGCUCACCCCCUAGAGGCCAUGUGUGGUCCAAGUGGGGCUUGUUGAAACGUCCUGGAUCAGAGUCCUGGCAGUGCCAUGGAGGGGCGCUCCCUGGGCGGGUCUAAGCUGCUUCCUUCCCAGGCUGCUCUGAUAGCCCAUUGCUGUUCCUCUUCUUGGUGAAUCCCCUGCCCUGCUCGGGGCACACUCAAGGCUAUGGGGUGUAUGAAACGGGGUUCUAGCUCUCAGGCAGGGAUUGUUGGGCUGGCUGUGCAAGGAUGUGCUUCUGUGGGAGCACCACUGGAACACACUCCCAACUCCGCAGUGUGGAAUGAGAGGCUCCUUACUGCAGGAACUUGUGUAUUUCUCAUUAUCUUUCUCAGUUCAAUUUAGUUUUCAGAGGAGGAGGCCAUUUAAAGUAGCCAGUUAUAAAUUUGACAGUAAAAUUUUGAUCCACAAUCUGUGUAAACAGCCAGAUAGCACAUAUUUAUAUAGCUUUAGGCUCAUUAUGGGGCUCAGUGGGACAGUAAUGUGCUUAUGAUAUGCAGGCUUGGGUCUUCACCAACAAAACAUCUUCACCAGCAAAACUCCUUUUUAAAAAGAAUAUUUGUAACAAAUAUAUAUUUGCUCCAAAUUUAUUUUAUCUUUAGUUAAUUUUACUAGUCUUGUGAUUGUUUUCCUGCAACAUAGAUAGCCCAAAGAAAAAAAUGCCACUAACAGUAAAUAUUGUUACUGUGGAGCAGUACAUAUUAUUGAAAGUUGAGGUUGUAAUUUUUUAAAAAAUUUAUUUAUUUUUUUUUGUUUUAGGUGGACACAGUAUCUUUAUUUUAUUUUUAUGUGGUGCUGAGGAUUGAACCCAGUGCCUCAUGCAUGCUAGGCGAGUGCUCUACCACUGAGCCCCAGCCCUAGCCCCAGGGUUGUAAUUUUUAAUGGUGAAUAGUGCUGAUAAAAAUUUUAUUCUACCGUCAUGAAAUAAAUGUUUGAGCUGUGUGACUAGGAAGGUACUAAUCUUCUAAUUAUUGUACAUUAUGGGAAAGACCUCCUGAAGCAUUCUGCGACAUCUCAACAGUUGCAUAUUUCCUAGCAUUUUCUACGUCUGGAAUAGUCAUCAGACUUGGUGCAUUGCAGUAGCUGGCAUAGGAAGAGAUAGGUUUCAUGGCACUCGCCCAGGGCUAGUUCAUUUGUCACCUUGGCAGAUGUGGUAUCACCAGGGACUUGGCGCCUGAACAGGGAUGUUCUGCUGCUUAUCAUAGGACCUUCUGAUAAUAAAUCAGUGGAAAGUUUGGCACUCAUUAUAGAUGAAAAACUCAAGGAUUAGACACUUCUAAAAAAGCUUAAUUUCAUCUGGUGGACACAAAAGUUAAAUACCUUCUGCUGGACACAAAAGUUCUCUCCUCUCAAUGUGCCAGCAUUGUGCUACCUCCAUUCUCACAUGUCCCUCCAGCACCAUUUCUCUGCCUGCUCUCCCACAGGUGCUGUGGCCUGGCUGGUGGUGCUGCUGGAUGGUUCUUGACAAGAGCAGUUGCUUGCCGUCUGCCUGCUGCUAGUGGGCUGCCUAAGAUGUAUUGCUGGCCUUCGCUGAGAAAUAAUUUCCAUAGGAUUUCUUUGUCCUAGAUUUGGAAAAAGAGAAGACUGAUCAGGAGGAAAUAUGGUGUGUUUGGAAGAUCAAAGCAAUCCCGUGUUUCAGGUGGAAUACUCUAAAAAAAAAUCUUUUGGUAAUAGUUCUAUCUACUGUAAAAAGUCCAAACAUCAAAAAUAAGUAAAUGAAUAAAAAAGUAUAAGAAGAAUGCAAAUGCUGUGUGGAACAGCCGCCGCCUCCUGCUCCCAGCCCUCCUAGGUGUUCCGCAGAGCCCUCCCUGGCUCCAUCUCUCCAGAGUGUGCAGAGUGUGGUCCUCCAUGCAUAAUGUUUGACUUCUACUUUUGACACUCAAAACAUGUUACAGAUGACUUUCCUUAUUAAAGAAAGGAAAAGUACAAUCAUAAUUUGUUUUAUCUUGAGUUAUUUUUACUAGUUUUGUGACUGUUUUCCUAUUGUUCUUCUGGAGCUCCC
rnacentral:lncRNA from 1 species